UCAUCAAACUCUAAUCACAAUUUAAGCUUAAAAUUAAAUUAAGACCAAAUAUCAUCACAACAAAGAUUCAGUGAUUAAACUAAACACUUCUAGAUUAAAACUAAACAAGAACAAAUGAAAUACUGGACGUAAAGGCAAACUAAAUUUAUUUGAAGAACAAUAAAGAGAAAGAAAACGUACAAUACAAACUGAAACCAUUUGAGCUAAAUAAUAACACCAAACAGCUACAGUUUUACACAAAGCCUCACUGACUAGUUCGAAUCCUUCAAACAAAAAACAAAAAAUCGUAAUAAACAACCUAAGAAGAAAAAAAGACUACAUUUUUCAUAUAAACACAUGUAAAUAAAAAAUCAGUUCUAACCCAUUAAAUACAUGAAAGUCAUAAAUGAACCUGGAAUUUCUUUCGCUUAAUGAAACUCUAGCAGUUACAUAGAUUAAUCGAAUAGAUAAUUGCGACCGGGACUCGACACGAGGAUUCUCAAACCAGCGGCCUCAAACAACAAAUUGUUUCCAGAAUUUGAACUUGACGGCACAAGUUCAACAAAGACGGGGAUGUGAACAAGAUGACGAAUAAAGGGCCGUUAUAGGGACGAAGUAGAAGAACGACGAAGUAGCAUCAUUAGUUGUUUAUGGUUGAUGCUGGACAACAGGAUGUAUGUCUGAUUGGAGUGCACGACGGGCUGGUUGUGACGUUGAAGCAGAAGCUGGUGACGGGAAAAAGCUGGUCGUGGGGGAGCAGCGAUGGGUUUAUCUGGAGAUGGUCGUUUGGCAGUGGGGUCAUCUCGGGUGGUUUCAGGGGUGUUCAUGGAGAUGGUGACUGGUGUAGGUGAUUUGGAGAAGAAAAAGAGAAGAGCGGGGGGUGUGUUAGGGGUGUGGCGCCUAGAGAGAGUUAUAGUUAGGUCUUUAGGGUUUUUUUUCUUUUCA
rnacentral:lncRNA from 1 species